UACGGAGGAUGCAAGCGUUAUCCGGAUUUAUUGGGCGUAAAGCGUCCGCAGGUGGCUAUACAAGUCUGCUGUUAAAGCGUGGGGCUUAACUCCAUACAGGCAGUGGAAACUGUAAAGCUAGAGUCUGGUAGGGGUCACGGGAAUUCCCAGUGUAGCGGUGAAAUGCGUAGAGAUCGGAAAGAACACCAACGGCGAAAGCACUCUGCUGGGCCGACACUGACACUGAGAGACGAAAGCUAGGGGAGCGAAUGGG
rnacentral:rRNA from 1 species